rnacentral:rRNA from 1 species
ACGAACGCUGGCGGCGUGCUUAACACAUGCAAGUCGAACGGUGAAGCGCCUUCCUUUUUGGUGGGUGUGGAUGAGUGGCGAACGGGUGAGUAACACGUGAGUAACCUGCCCCCUUCUUCUGGAUAACCGCAUGAAAGUGUGGCUAAUACGGGAUAUUCUGGGUCUGUCGCAUGAUGGGUCUGGGAAAGAUAUUGUUUCGGUGGGGGAUGGGCUCGCGGCCUAUCAGCUUGUUGGUGGGGUGAUGGCCUACCAAGGCGGUGACGGGUAGCCGGCCUGAGAGGGUGGACGGUCACACUGGGACUGAGACACGGCCCAGACUCCUACGGGAGGCAGCAGUGGGGAAUAUUGCACAAUGGGCGCAAGCCUGAUGCAGCGACGCCGCGUGAGGGAUGGGGGCCUUCGGGUUGUGAACCUCUUUCGCCAGUGAAGCAGGCCUGCCUCGUUUGUGGGUGGGUUGACGGUAGCUGGAUAAGAAGCGCCGGCUAACUACGUG